rnacentral:rRNA from 1 species
UACGGAGGGUGCAAGCGUUAUCCGGAUUCACUGGGUUUAAAGGGCGCGUAGGCGGGUGCUCAAGUCUGUGGUGAAAUCCUCCGGCUCAACCGGAGAACUGCCAUGGAUACUGGGCGUCUCGAGUGUGGUAGGGGUAUGCGGAACUAUCGGUGGAGCGGUGAAAUGCGUUGAUAUCGAUAGGAACUCCGGUGGCGAAGGCGGCAUACUGGACCACCACUGACGCUGAUGCGCGAAAGCCAGGGGAGCGAACGGG